rnacentral:lncRNA from 1 species
UGUGAAUGUCACAAAUGCUCCCCUAACGAGGAUCAAAUCAAUGAAAGGAUGGCCUUGAUAAAUAAUAUUCAUGAGGCAAAGAGGAAGUACCCAUACAUGAUGAGCUUUGAGAGGUGACUUUGCAAGACGGACUAAGAUUGACCCAUCACCUUGUAUUGCAAAAGGGAUCAACAAAAUUGUGAAAAUGGCAGAAAUGAAACACAUCCCUUGCGAAGCAAGUGUAAUGGCAUCACUUCAAAAGGCUCGUGAGAUGUCACCGGAGAGGCUGCGAACACGACGACCCGAGCGUUCCUGCAACCUCUUGCAUCGUAUUUUCUGGAGAAGACGUUGAAGAGGCUGACCUCCACAUCAAGGUGGACCGCGAGAUGUUUGCAGUGAAAAAUGGGGAGGAGGGGCUGGCGGCUGUUUUAUCUGCUUACUGGCUCUUCAAUAUCCAGUACGACCGCAAGCUAUUCAACACUCUUCUCGUGUUGGAGCGCCUUUUCCUUGGGCUCACAUUGAGUACCCCUAGAGUAGUGGCUACAAAGUUCUUGAACAAUGUUGCCAAAUGUGUGCCAUGUUUAAUGUGCUGAAGCUGUGCACUGUUACCUCAUCAUGAGUUUAGCUGUAAUUUUCAGAUGCAAGUUUUGUUUUGUCUAACCAUUUCUGCAAUACAUAUGAAGGAAGCCAACAGUCACCGAUAACAAGGCAAGCUUAUGGCAACGCUAUUCGUUUUUUUUUUAUUUGCAGUGUUAGUAGUUGGAAAUUAUUAGCGUAAUUAUUUUCAGAUGUGGUUAGUUAGGAUCCCACUGGCAGCAUGUGGUUUUCUGCUUUCUGAUCAUUUACCUGUCAGCCAUAAAAUGAUUACACUAACAAUUUUCUAUUGUCAGCACCACAAAUUGUUAAAACUUAGAAGCAUUCUCCAUGUGGGGCGUUCCUUGGUCUCGGUCACUGUUGGCAUUUUUCAUAUGCAUUACAGAAAGGGUUAAACUAUUCAACACUUUCUUAUCUAAAUGUUACAGGUAAACUGUCUUUUGUAUUACAUCAUUAGCUCUUUUUAACUUUCAAUAACUAAGCAAGAUUCUAGUCGUAAAAAAA